UCCAGGCUCCGAGCCAUCAGCCCAGAGCCUGACGCGGGGCUCGAACUCCCGGACCGCGAGAUCGUGACCUGGCUGAAGUCGGACGCUUAACCAACUGCGCCACCCAGGCGCCCCUGUGCUAGGCAUUUAAAUACAUUAUCCCUUUCAGGACUGGGACCAACCUUGAGACACGGGGAUUAUUAUACCCAUUGUCGUAAUGAAGACAUAGUCGCUGGAAGGGUCAGAAAUUAAACUCUAACUAAUGAACUCUAACUCUAGCCCUAAUUCCCCUUUUGCACCAUGUGCUGUCCCCUAAUAUUUAAGAAGGAAAUAUAAGUGAAGUGUCCAGCCAAGCAGAUUUGUACGUUGCUUUUAGAAUUUUGUUACAAAAAUAAGCUUCAAGGUCGAGUGAUACGAGGCAAUGUCGGAGCGAGCUUCUCUGCGUUUUUACUUCUCCCUCUAAAGGAUAUUUGCCAUCUAUUUGACACCAAAAACCAACUCUACCUGUUUUAGGAGUUCAGAAUGCCGUGUGUCUUCUGGUUGGUUGGUGGUUUUAUGUGAGAGGAAGAGAGCGCCAGCAGGGGAAGGGCAGAGGGAGAGGGGGAGAGAAUCCUUAAGCAGGCUCCAAGCUCAGUGUUGGAGCUUGAGCUCCAAGCUCAAGACCUUGGGACCAUGACCUGGCGGAAAUGAGAAGAGUCAGGCGCUCAACCUGCUGAGCCACCCAGGCACCCUCGCCCUGUGUCUUUUAAAUGCUCCCAAUAAUGUGAUAAAUGAUGACACUAACAUCAUGUCAUUGCAAGGGGCUCCUGCCCAACUGUGUCAGUCUGCAUUCUUUCACAAGCAGCCUUUCCUUGCACACAAAGUGACUUCUUUCUGCCAAAAAUAUGUUCCCAGAUUUUUAUGGAAUAUUCUGACAUGCGAAUGCCCCCAGGUCUGUGUAGGCUGGCUGCUGUAGAGACAUUUAACGGAUGAAGGAAAAUCUUGCAAGUGUUUAUAUGGUUUUGAGGAAUGAGGUAGUAGGAUUUGUACAUUUUUGUUUCGUUCCUAUCAGAUCCUUCACGUUUUUCCUUGAUGAUGUCAAGAAAUAAAACUUUUCCUUUCUCAAGAGCAGUCGUUUUUUGUGGUUUUCACAAAAUUCAGUUGUGUUUUGCACACAUAGUACUACGUGUUGCUUUCUGCACAUUUCCAGAAAACAUCAUUAGUUCAGACGUUAAAAAUAGGAUGCGACUUUUCAGAGCCUAAUGUUUUUAUUAAUGAGAUGUGUCUGUCUGUCUGUCUCAUUUUGGUUACCUCCUUAUAAACCUAUGGGAAUCUGGCAAAGCAAGUCUCUGACUAUGUAUAUUUAAGUUCUCGUUCUAAAAAUCCCUUCUUAUCUGCAUUUACUGUUUUUCCUGCUGUCUCCUUUUUUUAUUUUAUUUAUGUGUUUAUUUCACUUUUUAUUUGAAACAAUUAUAGACUCGCAAAAGGGUACAAAAAUAACGCAGCGAGGUUACCCUCCACCCAGGUUCACCGUCUGGCAGCAUCUUGCGUACCCAUAAUACAUUAUUAAAACUAGAAAAUUCACAUCUUGCUAUCUUCUUUAGGUUUUUAGUUUCUUUUUAAGUUUCAUUAUGUCGAAAAUUACCAUUUUGUAACAAUUCAUUUGUACUGUAUUUGAUUUGGCUCUUCUCCCUUUCCCAGAUUAACAAAUGACAAAGUCCGUAAAAUGCAUUAUUAAAACUAGAAAAUUCACAUCUUGCUAUCUUCUUUAGGUUUUUAGCUUCUUUUUAAGUUUCAUUAUGUCGAAAAUUACCAUUUUGUAACAAUUCAUUUGUACUGUAUUUGAUUUGGCUCUUCUCCCUUUCCCAGAUUAACAAAUGACAAAGUCCGUAAAAUGCAUUAUUAAAACUAGAAAAUUCACAUCUUGCUAUCUUCUUUAGGUUUUUAGCUUCUUUUUAAGUUUCAUUAUGUCGAAAAUUACCAUUUUGUAACAAUUCAUUUGUACUGUAUUUGAUUUGGCUCUUCUCCCUUUCCCAGAUUAACAAAUGACAAAGUCCGUAAAAUGCAUUAUUAAAACUAGAAAAUUCACAUCUUGCUAUCUUCUUUAGGUUUUUAGUUUCUUUUUAAGUUUCAUUAUGUCGAAAAUUACCACUUUGUAACAAUUCAUUUGUACUGUAUUUGAUUUGGCUCUUCUCCCUUUCCCAGAUUAACAAAUGACAAAGUCCGUAAAAUGCAUUAUUAAAACUAGAAAAUUCACAUCUUGCUAUCUUCUUUAGGUUUUUAGCUUCUUUUUAAGUUUCAUUAUGUCGAAAAUUACCACUUUGUAACAAUUCAUUUGUACUGUAUUUGAUUUGGCUCUUCUCCCUUUCCCAGAUUAACAAAUGACAAAGUCCGUAAGCUUGCCACAGUGCUCCUCUGGAAUUACAAGCUUACUACGACAAUUCUGUGUUUCAGCACGCUUAAAAGGAAGUCAUUUAUCAAAUUUUGCUGCAGGAAAUGGAUAACGUGUUGGCUCUCUGUAUUAUUCUGGAAUUUCGGAUGGCUUCUCCAGUUUGCUGCUUCCCUGGACACCAAACAUAACAUUCCCUGUUCUAGGACCUGCUUCAAGUUGGUCAUAAGACUGGCAGAAAGUCAAACCAAACUAAAUGAAUAGUUGUUGAAGUUAA